GAUGAACGCUGGCGGCGUGCCUAAUACAUGCAAGUCGAGCGAACAGACGAGGAGCUUGCUCCUCUGACGUUAGCGGCGGACGGGUGAGUAACACGUGGAUAACCUACCUAUAAGACUGGGAUAACUUCGGGAAACCGGAGCUAAUACCGGAUAAUAUAUUGAACCGCAUGGUUCAAUAGUGAAAGACGGUUUUGCUGUCACUUAUAGAUGGAUCCGCGCCGCAUUAGCUAGUUGGUAAGGUAACGGCUUACCAAGGCAACGAUGCGUAGCCGACCUGAGGGGGUGAUCGGCAACACUGGAACUGAGACACGGUCCAGACUCCUACGGGAGGCAGCAGUAGGGAAUCUUCCGCAAUGGGCGAAAGCCUGACGGAGCAACGCCGCGUGAGUGAUGAAGGUCUUCGGAUCGUAAAACUCUGUUAUUAGGGAAGAACAAAUGUGUAAGUAACUAUGCACGUCUUGACGGUACCUAAUCAGAAAGCCACGGCUAACUACGUG
rnacentral:rRNA from 1 species